CCCCUUGGCCGCCCCCCCCCCCCCCCUUCAGUUUGUGUAAAAAAAAUACAGUAAGUGCUAUUGAUAAAAAUAAUAAUAGUAAUAAAUAUCAUAUAAUCAUAAUGAUAAUAAUAAAUUGAAAAUAGAUGAAGAAGGUGAAGAAGCACAGUGUAUUGUACAAAAUAAUGGAAAUACCAUUACUAGUGAGAAUACUACACACUUACCAAUACAACAAUCACGGCCAGACACAUGUUGUUUUGGAUAGACUGGCUGGGAGUCUUACAGGAGGUUUUUAUGACACCCAAUGAUUGGUUGCUGAGACACGCUUCUCAUGGGAAAAUUUUUUGAUUGGGCAAGGGACGCCUAUAUUAGCACUCCCAUUGGCUCACUCCCUCAGCCAGCACAUAAGCUUCUGUGGUUUAUGAGCACUGCGCCACUUGCAUCAAGUGACAACAACUCUGGACAUGUAAGUUCAUCAUUUCCUAUGCUUGCACAGUCAUUUUUACCAUAAAGACAGUGGAUAUUGGUGUUCCAAACAUCAUAGCCAGGUAAAGUUAAGUAUUUCUUAGUUUUACCAGACCACUGAUAUGAUUAACAGCUUUCGUAGGGCUGGCCCAAAGGAUUAGAUAUUUUUACUUGGCUAGGAACCAAUUGGUUACUUAGCAAAAGGACCACAUCAAUAAAUGAAUUUCCAUCACCGGAAAUCAAUUUCUCUGGAUCCUUGUUGGCAGAGCGGGGAAUCGAAUCUGGACCCUGAGAUCAGUAGUUGAGCAUGUUAACGACUCAUUCAACAAGGAACUUUUCAUAGCCAGAGAGAGGGAGAAUUGGUGAUUCUUCCAAUGUGUAUAACACUGUUUUGGUGGCGGUGGUGCUUGAGCUUCUGUGGUUUUAAGGCUCUCAGACUGGUUGAGGGCAAUGUGGUCCAAGGAAACCCUGUCUAAAGGACAUCAUUGAUUUGGAAGGGCAACUGAAAAACUAUUCAUUCCAGACUGGCAUUUCAAACAAAUUUCUAUGGAAGGACUUGGGUUUUGAGUCUUGUAUAUGUUCCCCUCUUUUUUCCACUGUGGAUAACAAUCAUUGCAGGCAUAGAGGAGUUGGUCCUUGGAUAGGUUGAGUAAGGAUGAGCACAGUGAAUGGCUGUAGUGGGCAUUAAAGGAAGAGGAAUAAUCAUUUACCUUCCCCAUUCUGUGUUGGGAGUAAAGGCAGUGUUGAGACUGAGAAAUAGUGUAAUAUGGACCAGAUAUUCCCCAAGCUGCUACCUAUUUCAUUCCCAUUAUUGUGCAUACCUCCAUUCAUAUACUUUCUUUCAUCUGACUUUCCACCUUCUAACAAUUGUUUCAUAGUGCAACUGCAAGGUUUUACUUCUGUUACACCUUUCAAACCUUCUUACUGCCAAUUUUCCUUCUGGUGCUGAAUGGACCUCAUAGGUCCCAGAGCUUGGCCAUUGGCCUAAAUAUUUUAUUCCAUUCUAUAAUACUAUUGAUGGAGACUACUACUUCAUGAAGAGGAUGUCAAUUUAGAGCAGGUGGGGACAUGGCUGGGUAGUAGACCGAGAUGUCAAAGAUUCAGAUGGUUUGGGCAUAUGUAGUACUGAGAUGUGGAGAGGAGCAGACACUGAGAGUUGGUAGAUAUGGAGGUAGCAGGAUUGAAAUCUCAGAAGGCCAAAAAUCAUAAAGAUAUGCAUUUGAAGCUGUAGAGAUGGUAAUUUGAGUAAAAAAUUUACAAUUUACAAGAGGACGAGAAAAUUCUUUGGUAUGACCUCUCAAAAUGUAGCACUUCAUGUAUGAAAUUUAUUUUCAUUUUUAUAUUCAGAUAACACUGACUUAUGACAUGGAAUUUAACCUCGGAGAUUAUGAUGACACAAUGCAUUUUAUCAAAAUAAUUUUUAAUACCUGUGCUGUAAAAUGUGUGUGGGUGCCAUAAAAAAUGGAAUGGGAAGCUCAUGUUUAUUUUUAAGGCACAUUUUUAUUGAACUUGAUAUUUAUUGGGGCAAUUUUAGAAAUUUCAUUUGUUUCAGAGGAGGAUAUAGCAUAUAUACCUACUUAAACGACACUUCUAAAGAAAUUAUUAGCAUGGACAGAGGGACAGAAAAGUAAAAAUCUUUUGUGCUACUUUUACUGUAGUAAGAACCAUAUUAAUGCAAAGUAAAUAAUUGGGAAGGAAGUGCCCAGGACUGAAUUUUCAUUAGGGUGAGAGAGGCCUCUAGCAUUAUUAGGUGGAGGAUGUAAGAGGGGCAGAGGUGUAUUAGACAUUAUCAUGUGCCCCAGAAAAAAGUUUCAGGACUGAAUUUCCUUGUCUAUUCUCCCACAUUGUUAUUUCAGAAAAGAAGAGCCCAGUUAACUUUAGUAGAUGAAUAAGAGUAGAAAACAGUUACGUAUUCUACUUUGAGAUUUGUAAAUAGUAUUCUGGAACAGAUUGAGUAGGCAAACUUUGAAGGUAAGACAUAAAAGACAGUGUUAAUGGUUCUUUGUAAUUUCCUGAUUUUACUAUAGGCAAAUUGAAAAUUAACGACAGUAAUCGUUAUAUAAUAUUAUGUGAACUUCCAAACCACCCAAUGAUCUUACAUAACAGUAGUCAGUGUUACUUGUCACUUGGAAGGAGUCUCAACUUUUAUAGAAUAUGUUGGUAGGAGAAUUAAUUUGAUCAAGUUGCCACAUAAUUGUUUGCUGUGAUUGAUUUUGUGUCAUCACCAGUGUUCGUCAUAAGGUUAAAUAGGUUGAAUAACCUCCAUCAAGUUUAUACUGGCAUUUCAACAUCCACUUACUGUCCUACAAACCUUUCACUGUAACAUUGUUUCUACAGUGUUCUGAGAGUCUUGCUGGCUGUUGUACUUUUUUCGCCACCUUAUUAACCCUUCUUUGGGGUGAGUAAUUUGCUCAAUAUCAUUGAAGGAGAAGGGUACUUUUUAUGGUGUAUGUUUUUUCAUUAACCCAAUUUGUAUUGAAACUAUCACUAGACUGCUCAUGAAUCAAGACUUAUGCCUUUACGAUCUUGUGAUCAUUGCCUAUAUUCUGCCCCACUGGUUCAAGCACACCAUGUACAGUAAGAAGUCUCAUUUAACAACCAACACAAGUUUUCAGGAAUUUUAUAGUUCCUAUUACUUUGGUGGUAAUACCAUCCUCUGUUCCCUCCCAAUGAUUCUAGGGUUGUUAAACCUUUGUCCCUCAGCUUACAGCUUUGUGGUUAUGAGAAUAUGGAAACCAGUAAUUAUCCUUAACUUCCUUAAUCAUGUCAUUGUUUGGAUUUCCAUCAGAGGGAAACCAGUUAUCUGUCCUUCAUGAGGAGCCAACUAAUGUGACCAGAUUUUUAAGAUAGAAAGAUUGAUGUAUGCAUUUAUCUGUCUUCCAGAGAAUCCCUUCACUCAAAAUUACACUGAAAACUCUUAAAGACAUUUAUGGCCACACCAAGUUGUGUGCUCAUGAUUUGUUUUUAAAGUUAAUGAAAUCUUAUCUCUAGCCAUAAAGUAAUCAGGUUGAAGAGAUGUUGCAAAGAACUUUUGUUCUUUUGACAGAUGCUGCACAAUAAACUAUGAAUAAUAACUCCUAUGAAAAAGUACCAUCAUGUACCUGUGUACCUAAACCAUAGUUCCAGUUAAUUAUAUGUAUCCACAAGAAAUCUUAUAGGUAUCCUGGUUUUUAUGGUACGUAUACAUAAUUAUGAUUUAUUAGAAUCAGAAAAAAAACUAAAAAGGGAAAACAUCCAGGUUUGGUAUUUGGGCCUAUUUCAAGACUUAACUCAUUGUUAGCUUAUGAAAAUUUAUUGAGACAUUUUAAGAUUGCAUGUGAAAGGGGAAAAUAUCUUGGAUCCACACCAUUAUUAAAAUCUAAUCCCUUACUUAUGUCUUCCCCCUUCUAAAACUUUCUUAAAAAUAUCAAUAACUUACGGGUGAAUACAGAACCUCUGCAUGGAUUUGUUGAGAGUGGUAGUUAAGUAUCUAUUCUUUCCACUAUUCUAGUAUGAUGAAACAUGAUUCUGAAUGCUUAAGCACCAUCCAAGGAUAAAGAAAUACUUAUUUUGGUAAAGUAUAAAAUAUUUCUGCUCAUUGGUUAGUCAUGUUGUACAGUAUUUUUAUAUAGAUAUCUAGCAUUGUUAUUGCUUGUGAGUAAAAUAGCCACAGUUUUGUAUACUUUUGUAUAUUUAUAACUAUACUUUUGUAUAUUUAUAACUGAAACAACAGAAGAUUUUGCCUGUUUCAAGGUGUUAUAUGUAGAAAUAUACAUAUGUAUGUACAACUGUGGAUCUUUUAAUCAUAAAAGAAGCAUGUCAUAGUAUAGUAUUAUGUUUGUUAUUUGUACUCCAGUGACAUUAUGUACUUGAUUCUAUUGCUAAAAAACAAAAAUAAUUGGCAAUUCUCAACUGUUGUAAUUUAGGUAACUUGGACUCAUUUUGAUGAAAUUAAACGAUACACGUAAA